UAAUAAUACAAUAUCCCGCCAAAAAAAAUAAGAAAAAAAUAAAAAUAAAAUAAAUUUAAUAAUAAGCUAAUAUUCACAUUGAUGUUGCUAUAAAGGAUUUACCAAAAUUUCCACGGAUAAUAAGUUUGUUUUCGCCGUCAAAUGACUAUAUUGAGAUUUGAACUUAACUCACGUAUUUGACCUAUAUACGAUACCCUUCUUUAAAAUUUUGUUUGUAUAAAGUUUUUACAAAUGUUCAUUACAACGACUCUUGCUAAGAAAGUAAUAGCUUUUGUAAUGUCAAGUGUAAAUAUCACACACAUAAAACUUAACUUCCACUAAAUUCAUUUAAUUAUGACACUAACUUGAAAGUAUUCAUUUGUGAUAUGGAAAUGGGGCCUUUUAUUAAUUUAUUUUUGCUUUUCAUCAAUAAAUGUGAUCAAUUAACGACUCAUGUUAAUUUUCAAACUACAUCCGAACGCCAUCCAAAUAUAGUUUCUAAAAUUUAAACCUAUAUUUUCAAGCUUUAAAAAUCAUUACAAAGCAGCUUUCAUAAGUCUUUGGCUCUCCUAAAUAUCCCAUUCUUUAACUCACUGCAAGAGGUAAUAAUUUCUUAGACUACACUAAACCAAUUUGCGCUUAAUAGCGAGCCUUAAAAUAAAAAAUCAGUGUAGAGGUUGAAGAAUAUUCAGGAAUCUCAAUAAAAAUAAAAAAAAUAAGGAUCAUAGAAUUAUUUAAAUUAUCCCAAAUUCAUCAAAUUGUAAUGCUGUCCUUUUAGGAAAUUCUGGUUUGCCCUGGAUGACG